GAGUUUGAUCCUGGCUCAGGAUGAACGCUGGCGGCGUGCCUAACACAUGCAAGUCGAACGAAGCGCCCGCGCGGAUUCCCUCGGGAUGAAGCGCGGAUGACUGAGUGGCGGACGGGUGAGUCACGCGUGGGCAACCUGCCCCGUGCCGGGGGACAACAGCCGGAAACGGCUGCUAAUACCGCAUAAUCCGUGAGGGCCACAUGGCCUUCCCGGGAAAGCUCCGGCGGCACGGGAUGGGCCCGCGUCUGAUUAGUUUGUUGGCGGGGUAACGGCCCACCAAGACUGCGAUCAGCAGCCGGCCUGAGAGGGCGGCCGGCCACAUUGGGACUGAGACACGGCCCAGACUCCUGCGGGAGGCAGCAGUGGGGAAUAUUGCACAAUGGGGGAAACCCUGAUGCAGCGACGCCGCGUGGGCGACGAAGCGCUCCGGCGCGUAAAGCCCUGUCAGCAGGGAAGAAAAAAGACAGUACCUGACCAAGAAGCCCCGGCUAACUACGUGCCAGCAGCCGCGGUAAUACGUAGGGGGCAAGCGUUAUCCGGAUUCACUGGGCGUAAAGGGAGCGCAGGCGGCACGGCAAGUCUGGUGUGAAAGCCCGGGGCCCAACCCCGGGACUGCAUU
rnacentral:rRNA from 1 species